ACUCUGGUAUUGAUUGGUGCUUGCAUCAUGAUUUACAUUUGAGUGAGUGGCGAACUGGUGAGUAACACGUGGGAAACCUGCCCAGAAGCGGGGGAUAACACCUGGAAACAGAUGCUAAUACCGCAUAACAACUUGGACCGCAUGGUCCGAGUUUGAAAGAUGGCUUCGGCUAUCACUUUUGGAUGGUCCCGCGGCGUAUUAGCUAGAUGGUGGGGUAACGGCUCACCAUGGCAAUGAUACGUAGCCGACCUGAGAGGGUAAUCGGCCACAUUGGGACUGAGACACGGCCCAAACUCCUACGGGAGGCAGCAGUAGGGAAUCUUCCACAAUGGACGAAAGUCUGAUGGAGCAACGCCGCGUGAGUGAAGAAGGGUUUCGGCUCGUAAAACUCUGUUGUUAAAGAAGAACAUAUCUGAGAGUAACUGUUCAGGUAUUGACGGUAUUUAACCAGAAAGCCACGGCUAACUACGUGCCAGCAGCCGCGGUAAUACGUAGGUGGCAAGCGUUGUCCGGAUUUAUUGGGCGUAAAGCGAGCGCAGGCGGUUUUUUAAGUCUGAUGUGAAAGCCUUCGGCUCAACCGAAGAAGUGCAUCGGAAACUGGGAAACUUGAGUGCAGAAGAGGACAGUGGAACUCCAUGUGUAGCGGUGAAAUGCGUAGAUAUAUGGAAGAACACCAGUGGCGAAGGCGGCUGUCUGGUCUGUAACUGACGCUGAGGCUCGAAAGUAUGGGUAGCAAACAGGAUUAGAUACCCUGGUAGUCCAUACCGUAAACGAUGAAUGCUAAGUGUUGGAGGGUUUCCGCCCUUCAGUGCUGCAGCUAACGCAUUAAGCAUUCCGCCUGGGGAGUACGGCCGCAAGGCUGAAACUCAAAGGAAUUGACGGGGGCCCGCACAAGCGGUGGAGCAUGUGGUUUAAUUCGAAGCUACGCGAAGAACCUUACCAGGUCUUGACAUACUAUGCAAAUCUAAGAGAUUAGACGUUCCCUUCGGGGACAUGGAUACAGGUGGUGCAUGGUUGUCGUCAGCUCGUGUCGUGAGAUGUUGGGUUAAGUCCCGCAACGAGCGCAACCCUUAUUAUCAGUUGCCAGCAUUAAGUUGGGCACUCUGGUGAGACUGCCGGUGACAAACCGGAGGAAGGUGGGGAUGACGUCAAAUCAUCAUGCCCCUUAUGACCUGGGCUACACACGUGCUACAAUGGAUGGUACAACGAGUUGCGAACUCGCGAGAGUAAGCUAAUCUCUUAAAGCCAUUCUCAGUUCGGAUUGUAGGCUGCAACUCGCCUACAUGAAGUCGGAAUCGCUAGUAAUCGCGGAUCAGCAUGCCGCGGUGAAUACGUUCCCGGGCCUUGUACACACCGCCCGUCACACCAUGAGAGUUUGUAACACCCAAAGUCGGUGGGGUAACCUUUUAGGAACCAGCCGC
rnacentral:rRNA from 2 species